rnacentral:rRNA from 1 species
UACGGAGGGAGCUAGCGUUGUUCGGAAUUACUGGGCGUAAAGCGCGCGUAGGCGGCUUUGUAAGUUAGAGGUGAAAGCCCGGGGCUCAACCCCGGAACUGCCUUUAAAACUGCAUCGCUUGAAUCCGGGAGAGGUGAGUGGAAUUCCGAGUGUAGAGGUGAAAUUCGUAGAUAUUCGCAAGAACACCAGUGGCGAAGGCGGCUCACUGGCCCGAUACUGACGCUGAGGUGCGAAAGCGUGGGGAGCAAACAGG